rnacentral:rRNA from 1 species
UUGGAGGGCAAGUCUGGUGCCAGCAGCCGCGGUAAUUCCAGCUCCAAUAGCGUAUAUUAAAGUUGUUGCAGUUAAAAAGCUCGUAGUUGAAUUUCAGGCCUGGCUGGACGGUCCGCCCUUCGGGUGAGUACUGUCUGUGGUCGGGUCCUACCUUCUGGCGAGGCGUCAUGGCCUUAACCGGCCGUGGCGGGGAACCAGGACUUUUACUGUGAAAAAAUUAGAGUGUUCAAAGCAGGCAAUCGCUUGGAUACAUUAGCAUGGAAUAAUGGAAUAGGACAAUGGUUCUAUUUGUUGGUUUCUAGGACCGUUGUAAUGAUUAAUAGGGAUAGUUGGGGGCAUUAGUAUUCAAUUGUCAGAGGUGAAAUUCUUGGAUUUAUUGAAGACUAACUACUGCGAAAGCAUUUGCCAAGGAUGUUUUCAUUAAUCAAGAACGAAAGUUAGGGGAUCGAAGACGAUCAGAUACCGUCGUAGUCUUAACCAUAAACUAUGCCGACUAGGAAUCGGGCGAUGUUGAAAAAAUGAUGCGCUCGGCACCCUAUGGGAAACCAAAG